CCGAGAAUUUUUCACAAUGGGCGCAAGCCUGAUGGAGCGACGCCGCGUGGGGGAUGAAUGGCCUCGGCCCGUAAACCCCUGUCAUUUGCGAUCAACCGUUAUUAUUUAAAAGAUGAUAACCUGAUAGUAGCGAAAGAGGAAGGGACGGCUAACUCUGUGCCAGCAGCCGCGGUAAUACAGAGGUCCCAAGCGUUGUUCGGAUUUACUGGGCGUAAAGGGUGCGUAGGUGGCGGUGUAAGUCGGAUGUGAAAUCUCCGAGCUCAACUCGGAAACUGCAUUGGAAACUACAUUGCUCGAGGGUUGGAGGGGGGACUGGAAUACUUGGUGUAGCAGUGAAAUGCGUAGAUAUCAAGUGGAACACCAGUGGCGAAGGCGAGUCCCUGGACAACUCCUGACACUGAGGCACGAAAGCUAGGGGAGCAAACAG
rnacentral:rRNA from 1 species